rnacentral:rRNA from 1 species
UACGAAGGGGGCUAGCGUUGCUCGGAAUUACUGGGCGUAAAGCGUACGUAGGCGGUUUUCUAAGUCGGGGGUGAAAUCCUGGAGCUCAACUCCAGAACUGCCUUCGAUACUGGAGAGCUCGAGUCCGGGAGAGGUGAGUGGAACUGCGAGUGUAGAGGUGAAAUUCGUAGAUAUUCGCAAGAACACCAGUGGCGAAGGCGGCUCACUGGCCCGGUACUGACGCUGAGGUGCGAAAGCGUGGGGAGCAAACAGG